rnacentral:rRNA from 1 species
UACGGAGGGUGCGAGCGUUGUCCGGAAUCAUUGGGCGUAAAGGGCGCGUAGGUGGCCCGGUCAGUCCGUGGUGAAAGCGCGGGGCUCAACCCUGCGUCGGCCAUGGAUACUGCCGCGGCUGGAGCACUGUAGAGGCAGGCGGAAUUCCGGGUGUAGCGGUGGAAUGCGUAGAGAUCCGGAAGAACACCGGUGGCGAAGGCGGCCUGCUGGGCAGUUGCUGACACUGAGGCGCGACAGCGUGGGGAGCAAACAGG